rfam:Asian citrus Psyllid, Diaphorina citri - Florida Strain, whole genome shotgun sequence.
ACCAGUGACGAUAGCACGUUGAAUGCUUCAGUUUCCCAUGGAUCACUGAAGUUAAGCAACGAUGCGCGUGGUUAGUAUCAGGAUGGGUGACCAUGUGGCCAAUGGCUUUGCCCGGCC